rnacentral:rRNA from 1 species
GUGUCAGCAGCCGCGGUAAUACAGAGGGUGCAAGCGUUGUUCGGAAUUACUGGGCGUAAAGCGCGCGCAGGCGGAUCCUGUAAGUCGGAAGUGAAAUCUCACUGCUCAACGGUGAGACUGCUUCUGAUACUGCGGAUCUGGAGACCGGUAGAGGCUGGUAGAAUUGCAGGUGUAGCGGUGGAAUGCGUAGAGAUCUGCAAGAAUACCCGUGGCGAAGGCGGCCAGCUGGGCCGGUUCUGACGCUGAGGCGCGAAAGCGUGGGGAGCAAACAGGAUUAGAAACCCUUGUAGUCC